ensembl:snRNA U6 U6 spliceosomal RNA
GUGCUCACUUCAGCAACAAAUAUAGUAAAAUGACAAAAACACAGAGAAUAUUAGCAUGACUUCUGCAUAAAUAUGAUGGGUUAUUUUAGGAAGCAUUCAUAUUUUUA